rnacentral:rRNA from 1 species
GGGCGGUUCCCCUUCGGGGGACAGGGUGACAGGUGGUGCAUGGUUGUCGUCAGCUCGUGUCGUGAGAUGUUGGGUUAAGUCCCGGCAACGAGCGCAACCCUCGACCUUAGUUGCCAGCAUUCAGUUGGGCACUCUAAGGUGACUGCCGGCUAAAAGUCGGAGGAAGGUGGGGAUGACGUCAAAUCAUCAUGCCCCUUAUGACCUGGGCUACACACGUGCUACAAUGGGCGGUACAAAGGGUCGCGAACCCGCGAGGGGGAGCCAAUCCCAAAAAGCCGCUCUCAGUUCGGAUUGCAGGCUGCAACUCGCCUGCAUGAAGCCGGAAUCGCUAGUAAUCGCGGAUCAGCAUGCCGCGGUGAAUACGUUCCCGGGCCUU